CACACGUGAAAAAUAUGCGAGUUGAUGAAUCACCUACUUACUUGAAAACAAAGGGAUAAGACUAUAUCAAACAAGCGUGUCACAUGGAAAACCAAGUAUUAUACAUUUCCUAAGGUCUGUCUCUGGCAAUUAAUGACAUAAAAUCGAAAGUGACACAGCUAAUUAAGCCAUGAUACGCUCAUUUACGUACAUUCCCAUUACUUACCAUUGAGUCCGCCAUAUUGGAUUUUGAUCAGUGGAAGAAUCCAUUCGACAUCCGAUGCCUGGCCUUCGUUCUUUGAACAUCGGAAGGCCUCGGGUACCAGGCUAUCUAUCCCGUAUACUCUCUGUAUACUUCCGCUUCUACUUGAUGGCUUUAACUUGUUGAAGAUUGUAUCGCUUAGGGGCAGCGAUUGCAAGAUAAAAACAAAUGAUUUUGGUUCUAGUCAUUAGGAAAAGCAUAGGAUCCACGUCUGGCCGAUUCAGUGUGUCCAAAAGCACUUUUCCUAAACGUUUGAAAAGAGCAUGAACUACAUUGAUCGACAUAAUGCCUGAUACUAUCAAAUGGCCCGACAUUGCGGUCAGGAUAAGUGAGACGCACAGAUUGCUACCAGUUACACCAUGCAAAUAGAUGAUGAUAACGACCGGUGAUCAAUCUCAUAAUUACCAUACAUAAUACAAAGUAGAGAGUAGGACAAACACGGACCCCCUGGAAACAAUUAAUAGAGGUGGGAUCAGGUACCUAGGAGGAGUAAGCAUCCCCUGUUGACCGGUCACACCCGCCGUCAGCCCUAUAUCUUAAUCAGAGACCUGGAGAACGAACACAAAUGUAAUGGUUCUACGGAAGUCACGACCAGGCUAGUAGAGAGGACCAGGAAUGGGACUGGUGAUAAAGAUGUUGAAAUAAAGCAGAGAUGGCGGCCAGGCCUACUGUCAGAAGACGAUACCAUCACCAAAAGUUCUAUGGACGGCAUCUCGUAUCUGAAUAUUUGCAAUACCUAUAUACAAUGUAUGGUAAAUGGAGGAAAUACAUGUAAUAAGGGCAACUGGACAGAAGCCAAUGGCGGGAUCAGGUAACUUAUGUGUAGGCACGCACACGAGGCGAACGAGUGGUAGGUGAAUUCACUCUCAUUAUAGAGAAGCUAUAGUAUUUUGAACCGUUCAUAUGAUAAGUAAGUUAGGAUAAUCACUUUACGUACAUCAGUAUUGUCUGAGUCUUGGUUUGAUGGACUGGGGAUGUUUAGAAACUUGUCUCUUCUGCAUAUUAAUGGAUGUGUACUUACUUUUUACUCAGGUCGAAAAAUGGCGAGGAUGAGGGGAAGUGCAGGUAAUGGUAAACUGGAUUUAGAAACCGAUAGAGAUCUUGGAUAAGCGAAACCUGCCUUUCUUUUUUCAUUCGAUAUAUUUCAUGGUGGAUUUUCUGACAAUUCUAAGAUAACCAACAAUUAUUCAUAGAUCUAACGUAAGUUAUCCACUUUAAUGCGGUGUCUGGAUUUAGGAGGGAUCGGCUAAGUUGCGGAAAGUUGUGACUUCUGUUUGUCACUGUGACAUACAUGUAGUCACGUGGUUUUCCUUCAAAUUCACUGAUGGAUACACAAAGAUAUUAUUUUCUCAGAGUAUUAAUCAUUGAUGUUUUAAGGAUUUUUGUAAGUAUACAUGUAUGUACAUUCAUUUUAUUCAGUAUGGUUUCUUCAGUAACUACAUAUAAUAUAAUAUACAGUUUAUUUUCUGUUGAAACGAGAGAGAGAGAGAGAGAGAGAGAGAGAGAGAGAGAGAGAGAGAGAGAUCGAAAGAUCUGUACCUUCCGUAUUCGUGGUGUGAUUAAUUGGGGAGGUGUUUUAACAAUCAUUAAUCAAAAACGCUGUUAAAGGAGUUGUAUUUGGUCUACAAAGACGAAAAAGUGGCUAAUACUCUUUUCAUUUUAAACUGCUUGCAUUUUAAAAAUCUUCUAUCAAAAUAAAGUACAUCAUUACAAGCAAUUACGAACAUGUGCGAGAAGUGGUGUGAAAAUUCCAAAGAACUCUUAGUACAUUUGAAUUCAAAAAAUGUUCUAAAAAUCAACAGCAUCAAAACGUACGACUGUUCAUCCUGUUAUAUACACCGCCAUUCCCCACGAUAAGUUAAAGACUAGGCUUUAUGACAUGACAGACAGAUGCUUCUUCGAUAUAAAUAGAACUCCGGCAUAUUAUAUCUUGUAACCUGUUUUAGUAUUCUUAUGAGGUAGACUUUAUUGAAGCAUUUGA